GGGGAUGUGGCUAAGCGGUAGCGCGCUCGCCUGGCAAGCGUGUGGCCCAAGUUCGAUCCUUAGCACCA
rnacentral:tRNA from 1 species